rnacentral:rRNA from 1 species
AACGAACGCUGGCGGCAUGCCUAACACAUGCAAGUCGAACGAGACCUCCGGGUCUAGUGGCGCACGGGUGCGUAACGCGUGGGAACCUGCCCUUAGGUUCGGAACAACUCCCCGAAAGGGGUGCUAAUACCGGAUAAUGUCUUCGGACCAAAGAUUUAUCGCCUUUGGAUGGGCCCGCGUUGGAUUAGCUAGUUGGUAGGGUAAAAGCCUGCCAAGGCGACGAUCCAUAGCUGGUCUGAGAGGAUGAUCAGCCACACUGGGACUGAGACACGGCCCAGACUCCUACGGGAGACAGCAGUAGAGAAUAUUGGACAAUGGGCGAAGGCCUAAUCCAGCAAUGCCGCGUGAGUGAUGAAGGCCUUAGGGUUGUAAAGCUCUUUUACCCGAGAUGAUAAUGACAGUACCGGGAGAAUAAGCUCCGGCUAACUCCGUG